rnacentral:rRNA from 1 species
UACAGGGGGAGCAAGCGUUGUUCGGAUUUACUGGGCGUAAAGGGCGCGUAGGCGGUAGCACAAGUCAGUUGUGAAAUCUCCGGGCUUAACUCGGAAAGGUCAACUGAUACUGUGCGACUAGAGUGCAGAAGGGGCAACUGGAAUUCUCGGUGUAGCGGUGAAAUGCGUAGAUAUCGAGAGGAACACCUGCGGCGAAGGCGGGUUGCUGGGCUGACACUGACGCUGAGGCGCGAAAGCCAGGGGAGCGAACGGG